GCCGCCUGCUCCCUGCUGGCUGGCCGGAGGAAAGCAGAAGAUGCCCCGGGGGCCCCAGAAGAAGGGCUGGCAGGAGCCAGGGCCCGUGGAAGGCCUCGGGGCACAACCCCAGCAGGAGGUGCGAGGGAGGAGCGAACCUUGGAGGGGAGAGUGUGAAUGUGGUCUCCCACUGCCACAGAUUAUGCAGUCAGUUUUCCACAUUUGGGAAAAUUGCAAGGGAGACACACCUGGACUGUGAUGGAGGAAAGCCUCGCCCCAGGAAACCACCUUCAUCAUCAUGGUGUCUCCCUUGCCAGAGCCAGCCAGCACCUUCUGGAUUUGCCGAGAAUUCUGAGUGAGGUUAUGGAAUAAAGCCGCCAUCUGGGGUGAAAGGACCACCUUGAAGGCAGCAGGGACUCUCGUGACCGGCCAGGACAGUGUGACCAUCUGGCACCACCUGGAGAGCCUGUGCGCCAGUUUGGCCCAUCAGAACACCCUGGGGACCAUGGUACCUGCUCCCUCAUGCCCUCCACAGUGGCACUGGCCAGGGUCUGCAGAAGUGUCAGCACCUCCCACACUGCAGGCACACGUCAGGGUCCUAGCUCAGCACCUUGGAGCUACAAGCAUGCCCGGCCUCCACCUGCUGCUACAAUG